UUUAUUCUGAUAUCUAAUAUUGGGAGUGAAUGGCCCCAGGUGAGGCACAAGGAUUGCCCCACACUUCUGAGCCAGCAGAGCCCUCUGAGACAGAGGAAAGGGAGUUUUCAUUUUGUAGUGAUGAAAUAUGAAUAUUAUGGAAAUACAAAAUAGGUCAGAUUAAGGAAAAAGGAUCAUAUGUAACUGAAGAAUUUGACCUCAAAGGAAGACAUGAGCUGUACCAUUGUUCCCCGGCAGACUAGGAUGGAAGAUGAAUUAUUCCCAAGAAGAGUAUGCUACCAGUCUGCAGUUGUUGCCAUGAAAAAGAAACCUUGUGGAAAAUUUGGACUUGUUCUGUGCAAAGAUACUUUGGAAGUUCCGACUGCAGGACUACAAUAAGACCCUGUUAGUGUCACUAAAUGGCACGGCAACUUGCACCAGCGUAAGACUGUGCCUGGAAUGGUUAUAAUCAUUUCACCUCCAGCUGAAGAUUAGCUGAAUCAUGUCAGCAACAGGAAAAGAGAAAAAAAAUCAAAGCAUGCCUGACUGUUUAAGGAAGCUGCUAGCUUAGAAUUACAGCAGCACUUUCACUGGUCUCAGAUUUUCCAAAGACUAAUACUCCAUGACUAAGGAAUUGGGCUCAUAUGGAAAUGUUACCCAAGCUUUGCACUAGAGUAUAGCUGUUUUCCUGCAGUUCCUUUCUUUAUAUGGUAGUGUUAAUCUAAAGAGAUUUCUAAAAGGAGAAAGUACAGCUAAGAAUAGACUCCCAAAAAUGAUAUAGCUGUCUCACACCUCACUCCAUGAUACUUCUGAACUCUUUAGGACUGUAUUGCAGGCGGAGUUAGCUGCUGUGAUAGCCCUGCCCUGUCUAAGUUGGGGUGUCCUCUGUACAGUACUUGAGCUACAGUAAUGUUUUCUGGAGUAAUUCAUUCAGAGUCUUUUGCUUCAGUAUCUUUUUAAAAAUAAAUAAAUAAAUAAAUCACUGUUAUACA
rnacentral:lncRNA from 1 species